rnacentral:misc_RNA from 1 species
GAUGAAGAACGCAGCGAAAUGCGAUAAGUAAUGUGAAUUGCAGAAUUCAGUGAAUCAUCGAAUCUUUGAACGCACAUUGCGCCCGCUGGUAUUCCGGCGGGCAUGCCUGUUCGAGCGUCAUUUCAACCCUCAAGCCCCCGGGUUUGGUGUUGGGGAUCGGCUCUGCCCUUCUGGGCGGUGCCUCCCCCGAAAUACAUUGGCGGUCUCGCUGCAGCCUCCAUUGCGUAGUAGCUAACACCUCGCAACUGGAACGCGGCGCGGCCAUGCCGUAAAACCCCAACUUCUGAAUGUUGACCUCGGAUCAGGUAGGAAUACCCGCUGAACUUAAGCAUAUCAAUAAGCGGAGGA